rnacentral:tRNA from 1 species
GGAGGGGUGCCGGAGUGGUUUAUCGGAGCGGUCUUGAAAACCGUCCUGGUGAUGAGCCAGCGCGAGUUCGAAUCUCGCCCCCUCCGCCA